CGUUGAUACUGUCUGGCUAGAAUGAGGUUGCUGUGAGUGGAAUGUGUGGUGUAGCGGUGAAAUGCUUAGAUAUCACACAGAAUAUCGAUUGCGAAGGCAGCUCACAUAAGCCAUUAUUGACGCUGAGGCACGAAAGUGUGGGGAUCAAACAGGAUUAGAUACCCUGGUAGUCCACACUGUAAACGAUGAUAACUCGCUGUCGGCGAUACACAGUCGGUGGCCAAGCGAAAGCGAUAAGUUAUCCACCUGGGGAGUACGACCGCAAGGUUGAAACUCAAAGGAAUUGACGGGGGCCCGCACAAGCGGAGGAACAUGUGGUUUAAUUCGAUGAUACGCGAGGAACCUUACCCGGGCUCGAACGGCUUUAGAAUAUAUCAGAGAUGGUAUAGCCAGCAAUGGCUGAAGUCGAGGUGCUGCAUGGUUGUCGUCAGCUCGUGCCGUGAGGUGUCGGCUUAAGUGCCAUAACGAGCGCAACCCUUGUCGUUAGUUACCAUCAGGUCAUGCUGGGGACUCUAACGAGACUGCCACCGUAAGGUGUGAGGAAGGGGGGGAUGACGUCAAAUCAGCACGGCCCUUACGUCCGGGGCGACACACGUGUUACAAUGGUAGGUACAGAGGGCAGCUACCCAGUGAUGGGAUGCGAAUCUCUAAAGCCUAUCUCAGUUCGGAUUGGAGUCUGCAACUCGACUCCAUGAAGUUGGAUUCGCUAGUAAUCGCGCAUCAGCCAUGGCGCGGUGAAUACGUUCCCGGGCCUUGUACACACCGCCCGUCAAGCCAUGGAAGCUGGGGGUGCCUGAAGUUCGUGACCGCAAGGAGCGACCUAGGGCAA
rnacentral:rRNA from 1 species